rnacentral:lncRNA from 1 species
CUGAAGCAACUACAGCCCCUUAGGGCUCAGCUGGGAGGGAUUUAUUGGAGAAUUUCAAUCAUGGGGUCUUGGCUCAAACUUGUUGCUUCCUCAAAAAUCUCCCCAGAAGUUGGCUACAUGUGAAACUGAGGCAUGAAGGAAGGACUCGGAUGAUCUCACGGUUCGGAACUCCACCUGGGCCUGUCAGAGAAUUCAUAGACCCUCACUUGGAGGAAGAGAGCACAGAACAGCAAGAAAGAUGCAGGUUCCUGGGACGAUGUGGAGGGGAAAUCUUGGACGCCUAAUGACAUAUUUCUGUCCAGGAAGAAAUUUGAACUCUGAAGCCGAACUUGAUUAAACCCCAAACCGAGAGACCUUGCCCAAUGGGACCACUCCAGGACUUUGACUUCUGGGUGUCAGAGCUUAAUUAAAAUAUUCAUCCAGCUGCUCUCCACUCGCCAAGGGGGCCCAGAGGAAUUAAACCAAUAAGCUUAAUUCUAUUAGUUCACCUGCCUGUGUACAUAGACAUGCGGAAGACCAUUUACUGAUUCAGAAAAAAAUCAUCAGACCCACCCUAUAAAUUCAGCGUGGGCAGCCAUCACUGCAACAGCAACACGGUCCCCCCAGCAAACGUAACACUCAGCAAUCUCGACUCCUGUCUCCGAACACACACAGCUAUUUUUAAGACUCUUCCAAGAAAACCAAAAUGCUAAACGGGUCAAUGUAAGGAUUGAUGUGCG